CCUACGGGUGGCACCAGUGGGGAAUAUUGCACAAUGGGCGCAAGCCUGAUGCAGCCAUGCCGCGUGUAUGAAGAAGGCCUUCGGGUUGUAAAGUACUUUCAGCGGGGAGGAAGGUGUUGUGGUUAAUAACCACAGCAAUUGACGUUACCCGCGGAAGAAGCACCGGCUAACUCCGUGCCAGCAGCCGCGGUAAUACGGAGGGUGCAAGCGUUAAUCGGAAUUACUGGGCGUAAAGCGCACGCAGGCGGUCUGUCAAGUCGGAUGUGAAAACUCCGGGCCCAACCUGGGAACUGCAUUCGAAACUGGCAGGCUAGAGUCUUGUAGAGGGGGGUAGGAUUCCAGGUGUGGCGGUGAAAUGCGUAGAGAUCUGGAGGAAUACCGGUGGCGAAGGCGGCCCCCUGGACAAAGACUGACACUCAGGUGCGAAAGCGUGGGGAGCAAACAGGAUUAGAUACCCCAGUAGUC
rnacentral:rRNA from 1 species